CGGCCCCGCCCCCUUGGCCCUGCACUCCGGGCCCAGGUUUCCUGCCCGCUGGACGUCAUCUUUCCCGGCUUCCUCCCCAGCAUCCUGGACGUUCCUGGCAGGAAACCGGCAUUUGGGUUGAAUGAGACGGCCACCCCUGCCUCCCCCGGCCCAUCCAGUGAGGCGACACCACCCUGUGACGAGAAGGGCCCGGGACGAGGCCCGGGGCACCCUGCACCCACUUCCUUCCUUCAAUAAAUCGUUGCUGUCACACCUGA